GUGAAAUUCAAUUUAAUUUGAAUUUAAAAAUUUAUUAUUGUUAUUUAUUAAAUUUUUAUUAUUUAAAAAGUUAAAGUUUUUAUUAUAUUAAUGAAAAAAUAAUUUUUAUUAUAGAUUAAAGUAUUGUGAAAGAAAAAUUUUAAAUUUUAAAAAGAAAAUUUAAUUAAUUGUACCUUGUGUAUCAGGGUUUAUUAAAAAUUUGUAAAAAUUUAUAUAUCUCGAAUUUAAAAGAGUUAAGUAAAUAUAAAUUUUAUUGUGAAAUAAAUAUUUAUAAUUUUUACUUAGUAAUGAAACGUUAGUCGUUUUUAAGAAUAUCUAGUUUUUUAAGAAAUAAAUUUAAUUUAUUUAUUAAUUUAGAAUUAUUAUAAAUUUUUAUUUUAAUUUAAUUAAUAUUUAAUAUUUUAAGGGAUAAGCUUUAAGAUAAAUUAUUAAAAAAUAAUUUAUUUAAAUAAAUUAUAGGAUUAGAAUUUUCUAUUAAUAAAAAGAUGUUAUAAUCAAUUAUUUUUUAUUUAUUAUUUAUAUUUUUUUUAAAUUUUUUAUUAAAAUAUUUUUUUUAAUUUGUAAAAAAAAGAAAUAAUGAUAGAAUUAGUAUAAUUUUAUUUAUAAAUAUAUUAUAAUUAAAAAUUAAUAUUAAGGAACUCGGCAAAUUUAUUUUCCACCUGUUUAAUAAAAACAUGUCUUUUUGAGUAUAAUUUAAAGUCUGACCUGCCCUAUGAUUAUUUUAAAUGGCCGCAGUAUCUUGACUGUGCAAAGGUAGCAUAAUCAUUAGUUUUUUAAAUGAAAGCUGGAAUGAAUGGUUUGAUGAGAAAAUAGCUGUCUCAAUAUUAAUGAUUUAGAAUUUUAUUUUUAAGUUAAAAAGCUUAAAUAUAUUAAAAAGACGAGAAGACCCUAUAGAGUUUUAUAUAAUUUUAAUUAAAAAUUUAAUAGAUUUUUAUGAUUUUUUAUUGAUAUUAUAUUUUAUUGGGGUGAUAUAAAAAUUUAAAAAACUUUUUAUUAUAAAACCAUAAAUUUAUGAAUAUUUGAUCCUAAUUUUUAGAUUAUAAGAAAAAAUUACCUUAGGGAUAACAGCGUAAUUUUUUUUUAGAGUUCAAAUCGAAAAAAAAGAUUGCGACCUCGAUGUUGGAUUAAAAUUUAAUUUUGGUGUAGAAGCUAAAAAUAUUAGGUCUGUUCGACCUUUGAAAUUUUACAUGAUCUGAGUUUAGACCGGUGUGAGCCAGGUUGGUUUCUAUCUUUUAAAAAAGUAAUAUUUUAGUACGAAAGGACCAAAUAUUAAAAUUAAAUUUUAUAUUUUGAAUAAAAUUAUUAUUUUGGCAGAUUAGUGCUAUAGAUUUAGAAUCUUUAUAUGUAAUUUAAAUUACAAAUAA
rnacentral:rRNA from 1 species